UUCCGAUGGACGAGGUACAUGUACCUCGUCCAGCUGAAGGGCUUCAUUCCAAUGGACGAGGUACAUGUACCUUGUCCAGCGGAAGGGUUUCCUUCCAAUGGACGAGGUACGUGUACCUCGUCCAGCGGAA
rnacentral:miRNA from 1 species